GACGAACGCUGGCGGCGUGCUUAACACAUGCAAGUCGAACGGAAAGGCCCCUUCGGGGGUGCUCGAGUGGCGAACGGGUGAGUAACACGUGAGUAACCUGCCCUGGUCUUGGGGAUAACCUUCGGAAACGGGGGCUAAUACCGAAUAUUUCCUGCUGGUCGCAUGGCUGGUGGGGGAAAGUCUUUUCGGACUGGGAUGGGCUCGCGGCCUAUCAGCUUGUUGGUGGGGUGAUGGCCUACCAAGGCUUUGACGGGUAGCCGGCCUGAGAGGGCGACCGGCCACACUGGGACUGAGACACGGCCCAGACUCCUACGGGAGGCAGCAGUGGGGAAUAUUGCACAAUGGACGAAAGUCUGAUGCAGCGACGCCGCGUGAGGGAUGACGGCCUUCGGGUUGUAAACCUCUUUCGCCAGGGACGAAGCGCAAGUGACGGUACCUGGAGAAGAAGCGCCGGCCAACUACGUGCCAGCAGCCGCGGUAACAC
rnacentral:rRNA from 1 species